AUCGCCGCGCCGGCCGCCAACGGCCACUGCAACGGUCCCUACCGGGGAGGGCCGGCUUUUGCCGGCUUCCGGAGAAGGGAGGAAAGAGAGAGGUUUACCUAACACUGUAAAGAGAACGUUCAAUGAAAUACAAAGAAAAAGAUGAUUUUUUUGCUCCAAGAGAAUUAUUCCAGCCUUGGGGUGGAGUGGGUGUGGACAGUGAGCAGAAAAACAAGAAACCAAGUUCUGGGAGGAAAUAAAAUGAAUAUAAUCAGUGGAAAAUUCAGCAACGCAAUAUUGUGUGACAACAGUAAAUGACCAAUUUAUAAUUUAAAUUCUAUGAAAAAGAGAUUUAGAAGAGAGUUCUACCAAACCCACUGUUCCCUAGGGAAUAAAAUGAGUAACGCUGACUGGCAACAGUGCAUCCUGAGGGAGCCUGGAGAAACAACAGCAGCCUCCGACCUCAAGAUAUCCUGGUUAGCUGCAAAGUCUGUUAUAUAUUCAUUCAAAUAUUUAUUAAGCACCUUACUGUGUGCUGGGAACUCUUAAGUGCUAGGGAUUAUGAACAAAACAUAUUUACAUGGAGCUUACAAUCUAAGUAAGGGGAAGACAAGUAAAUACAUGUCAGAUAGUGAAAUGGUAGAGAAAAGAAAAAACGGUGGUCAGGGAAAGCCUUACUGACAUUUGAGCUAGUACUGAAGGAAGUGAGGAAGAAGGCUAAGCAGCUACCUUGGAGGAGGAAUUUUCCAGGUAGAGGAAACACCAAGUACUAAGAUCUGAGACGGAGUGUGCUUUUUGGGUUCAAGGAACAGCACGGAAACCAUAGUGGCAAGAGCAGAGAGUAGGAGAUGAGGUCAAACAUAUUAAAGGGGGCUGGUCUUGUAGGGCCUGAAAGACCACGGUAAGGACUUUGGCUUUUGCUGCAUUAGAUGGGGAGUCAUAGUUUCAAAAUUUAGUCACCUAAACCAUCCUUAGCACUACGCUGAGCAAUUAUGCCAGGCCUAGAGGCUAGAAACGGAGAUGAUAAUCCUUUAGCUCCUUGCAACUCAAAGUUUAUUCAGCCCAACCUCUCUCACUACCACUAUCACUACUAUCUUGGACUGCAUAGCAGACUUAACUGAAUCUACAUUUUAACAAGAUCUUCAGGAGAUUUGUGUGUACAUUAAAGUUUCAGAAAUCACUGUUUUGUUCCUCGGAAUUGACCAAUGUCUAAAGUUUUAUUGGGAGACAUCCAAUCCAUCUAUGCACAUCCAUUCUAUGACUGCCUC
rnacentral:lncRNA from 10 species